UACUCACAACAUGGGUGUCAGAUGGA
rnacentral:piRNA from 1 species